GAAUUACGUAAAGAUUCAUUUGAAGGCCUGGUUUCCCUCCAGUAUUUGGACUUGUCCUGCAAUAAGAUAGAAUUUAUUGAAAAGAAUGCAUUUGAUUCAUUACCUCUUUUACAAUAUAUAAAUCUUGGUUGCAAUUUAAUCACAAAAGUGAACUUUGGAACAUUUCAGACCUGGCAUGGAAUGCAGCUGUUACACAAGUUAAUUCUACAUGAAAAUCCUCUG